GAGCAGAGAUAGAGUCCAUUGAUGUGAUAAGAGAUAAUGAUAAACUUUUUUUUAUUGAAUAACGAUACUAUAAAAUCAUUAAUUAGAAAUCAAUUUUGAAAAUAAAAAAUUAUUAGUUUUUAUAUUGAUUAAAUCGGAUACUAUUUUAGAAACUAAAAAAAUUAUUAAUUUUUAAAUUAGUUUUUAUUAUUGAUAAAUAGUUUUUAAAUUGGUAUUUAAUUAGUUACUGAUUUAGAAAUUAUUUAUCAAUAAUAAAAAUUAAUUUAAAUACCAAAAAUUUUCUUAGUUUCUAAAAUAAUAUAUAAUUUUGUAAAUAUAAUGACUAAUUAUUUUUAGUGUCUAAUAUUGAUUUCUAUUUAAUGAUUUUCUUCUAGUGUAAGCUGAGAUGCAAAGAUGUCAAGUGUAAAUAAAUGAUCUUGCACAACACCUUGUUUACAUUUUUCUUUGUUUAUUUUGUCUUGGUCCUCUAGCCAUAAAAAGAUGGCUUGCUUGGAGAAUUUUUUCAGAAGGAAUUUCGUUUAUAAGUCAUAGUUUUUUACNNNN
rnacentral:lncRNA from 1 species